CCUGGCUCAGAUUGAACGCUGGCGGCAUGCCUAACACGUGCAAGUCGAACGGCAGCACGAACUAGUUUACUAGUUGGAUGGCGAGUGGCGAACGGGUGAGUAACGCGUAGGAAUAUGCCUUGAAGACUGGGAUAACUUGGGGAAACUCAAGCUAAUACCGGAUGAUGUCUUAGGACGAAAGCUGGGGACCAUUUGGCCUGGCGCUUUUAAAUUUACCU
rnacentral:rRNA from 1 species